rnacentral:rRNA from 1 species
UGCUUCUUGAAAAUAUAAGAAGUAAUCUCCUGCCCAGUGAAUUUUAAACGGCCGCGGUAUCCUAACCGUGCAAAGGUAGCAUAAUAAUUUGUCCAUUAAUUGUGGACUAGAAUGAAAGGGGUAACGAAAUAAGCUCUGUCUCAGUAAAAUAAAUAAAAACUAAUAUCCAAGUGAAGAAGCUUAGAUAAAAUUAAAGGACAAGAAGACCCUAUAGAGCUUUAUCUUUAUAUAUUUUUAUAAACCAAAGAUUAGGUUGGGGCGACCAUGGAUAAAUCAUCCACAAUAAAAAAGACCUACAAGUCAAUUAAUAGAUCCUAUUAAGAUCAUUGAACUAAGCUACCUUAGGGAUAACAGGCUAAUCCUAUUUAAGAGUUCAUAUCGACAAUAGGGAUUGGCACCUCGAUGUUGGCUUAGAAUAUCUUUAUGGCGCAGAAGUCAUAAAAAGAAGGUUUGUUCAACCUAUAACAUUC